GUACCUCCUGCGGGAGGCAGCAGUGGGGAAUUUUGGCCAAUGGGCGAAAGCCUGAUCCAGCAAUGCCGCGUGAGUGAAGAAGGCCUUCGGGUUGUAAAGCUCUUUUGUCAGGGAAGAAACGGUGAAAGCUAAUAUCUUUUGCUAAUGACGGUACCUGAAGAAUAAGCACCGGCUAACUACGUGCCAGCAGCCGCGGUAAUACGUAGGGUGCAAGCGUUAAUCGGAAUUACUGGGCGUAAAGCGUGCGCAGGCGGUUUUGUAAGUCUGAUGUGAAAUCCCCGGGCUCAACCUGGGAAUUGCAUUGGAGACUGCAAGGCUAGAAUCUGGCAGAGGGGGGUAGAAUUCCACGUGUAGCAGUGAAAUGCGUAGAUAUGUGGAGGAACACCGAUGGCGAAGGCAGCCCCCUGGGUCAAGAUUGACGCUCAUGCACGAAAGCGUGGGGAGCAAACAGGAUUAGAUACCCCAGUAGUCCCAUGAU
rnacentral:rRNA from 1 species